rnacentral:rRNA from 1 species
AGUGAACGCUGGCGGUAGGCCUAACACAUGCAAGUCGAACGGCAGCACAGGAGAGCUUGCUCUCUAGGUGGCGAGUGGCGGACGGGUGAGGCAUACAUCGGAAUCUGCCCAGUCGUGGGGGAUAACGUAGGGAAACUUACGCUACUACCGCAUACGACCUUCGGGUGAAAGAGGGGGAUCGCAAUACCGCUCGCGAUUGGAUGAGCCGAUGUCGGAUUAGCUAGUUAGCGGGGUAAUGGCCCACCAAGGCGGCGAUCCGUAGCUGGUCUGAGAGGAGGAUCGGCCACACUGGAACUGAGACACGGUCCAGACUCCUGCGGGAGGCAGCAGUGGGGAAUAUUGGGCAAUGGGCGCAAGCCUGAUCCAGCCAUACCGCGUGGGUGAAGAAGGCCUUCGGGUUGUAAAGCCCUUUUGUUGGGAAAGAAAUCUUUCAGGCUAAUACCCUGGGAGGAUGACGGUACCCAAAGAAUAAGCACCGGCUAACUUCGUG